GAAUUUUAUAUAAGAUUUUUUAAUUAGUAUAGUUUUAUUAUGGUUAAUAAAAAAUAUUUAUAUUUAAUUGGGAGGAUUGUUAAAUUAAAUAAACUUUAAUUAUUUUAAAAUAUAGAUUAAUAAGAUUUAAGUUUGGUUAGUAAAUUAAGUAAGAAUUAAUUACCUUAGGGAUAACAGCGUAAUAUCUUUAAAGAGAUCUUAUUAAUAAAGAUGGUUGC
rnacentral:rRNA from 1 species